rnacentral:rRNA from 1 species
UACGUAGGGUGCGAGCGUUGUCCGGAAUUGUUGGGCGUAAAGAGCUUGUAGGCGGUUUGUCGCGUCUGCUGUGAAAAUCCGGGGCUCAACCCCGGACUUGCAGUGGGUACGGGCAGACUAGAGUGUGGUAGGGGAGACUGGAAUUCCUGGUGUAGCGGUGAAAUGCGCAGAUAUCAGGAGGAACACCGAUGGCGAAGGCAGGUCUCUGGGCCACUACUGACGCUGAGAAGCGAAAGCAUGGGGAGCGAACAGG